UCUGUACCUGUCAUCGCACGUUAUUGGUCGCGCACACGUCAUCACAACGUUCAGUUUGUGCGUAAAGUGCGCAUGGCCUGGAAGUGUGUGGGAAAACAUAAACAGCGCAGAUGAACAAGAAAAACAGGGAUCGAGCGGAAAGGUGGAGCGCGUUAGAAGGAGAACAACAGUCCUGCAGGAACGUGCAGCUAAUUGCUGCAGAAUGACAGGUGGAGGUGACUCCAGUUACUCAUGAGGAUCAUCACAAGUCCAGCUCUGAGGCGAGCCUCUCACCUCAGCUUCACCUCAGUAUCUGAACUUGUAACCUGCUGGAGAUUAGAGUUGGAGUCGGCCAUUAUAAACACGAUGCUGGAUGAAACAAGGCGUGUGUAACGCUAGACGCACAAUGUGGACCACACAGGAAACUAUUGAGGACGAGGAGCCAAGAACUCUGCAUACCUUUGCGUCAGGAUCCCUCGUAUUUCUCCCGGCUCCAAACAUGACCUCUCGUCUUUUUUUGUGUUUGUAGUUUUUUUUCUUUUUUGUCUUAUCAGGUUUUAUGUGUGAAUGUUUUCUUGGUUAUGUUGCUUCCGCUGACGAUUUAUGGAUUUUUUGAUGGUGUGUGUGAAUGCAUGCCAGCAGAUGAGUGUGAGCAGAGUGUGUGGGAACGCACAGCACAUGUGUGUGUGUGUGUGUGUAAAGUACAGCUGUCAGCGAUAUCGGCCAACAGUCUACAUAGGAGUGCCUUCACUGCCCUCCUUGUGAAGCCAAUUUUCCCUCAGGAAGCAAAGUGACUCAGUUGUGGUUUGACAUUGUUUGUGAGUGCAUAGUUUGUGUGUGUGUGUGUGUGUGUGUGUGUGUGUGUAUGUGUGUGUGAGAAAGCGGUAUACAAAGUAAGAGCAGUAAGAGUUUCUGUGCAUGCUCGCAUUUUUGUCUAUUACCAUUUGAGUAUGUACGUGUUGAAGCAUUUUUAUGUGAUUCCAUGUUUCUGCCGUGUUUUUCCCAGGUCGGUCUGAGGUUUGCUGGUAUUCUGAAAUGUACCUCUCAUUCCUCGCUGUAGGAAAUGUUUUAUGACAGUCGGCACAGACAUCACACCACUACGCCCCAUGAGUAAAGUCUAAGAGGAGCAGGCAGGGUGCUAUCAAAACCUUGUCUCCUGGAGGGGGAGGCAUCUUAUGUUGAAGCCCCUGCAUGUUAGGCCAAAGUCAGCUUGAAGGUUGGAAAUAAUUUAAAGGGUCUGUGUACUUGAAUCACAAAAAAAAAGCCAUUUCCUCGCUUCCU